rnacentral:lncRNA from 1 species
GUUCGGUAUUUUUGUUAUGUUGAUUUUUAUAUUUCUGUCUCAGUACCGAAGUAUUGUCAAACGAUCUGAAGAUAACGUACUGAUAAUCGAACAUCAAUAACUUUAAAUUUUUCGAAAAACUAAGGACUUUCUUAUCCCAAGAAUAGAUUACCUUAGUCGUAUUUGACACAACUUUUUGUAAUUUAGGGUCCUCAAUGCUCUUUAAAUUUGAACUUGUUUGGCUUUAUAACUAUUUUGAUCAUAGGGUCACCGGUGAGUCUUAUGUAGACGAAGCGCGCGUCUGGCGUAUUAAUUAAAAUCAUCAUAGAUACCAGGAC